AGGUCAUUGGGUCAAGGUUUUGGCCAGAGAAUAGCAAGGAUGACUUAUCUCUGCUCCACUAUGUCUGGAACCUCUUGGAAUCAUUUGGAGUCUUCUUCACUCUCUUGCCUGGCACCUGGACUGGGAAAACUUGGAACCCACUGGGACUGUUGACCAAAGCACAAACAUGUGGCCUCUUCAUGUGGCUUGGGCUUUCCACAGCAUGGAGGCUGAUUUCUGAGGAGAGGCCCAAAAAUAAUAUACACAAACUACAUAUAAUUUUGACUCCUCAACCAAGAUGAAUCCAGUGCUCUAUCCUGGUUAAAUUAUCUCAGGCGUUCCCAGGUAACUUUGCUUCAGGUUUGACCCACCCUGACACUACUAGUGUGCCAUGACCUCAUAGAUGAAAACUGAAUAUUACUUUUUAUGCCAUUUAAUCACAUUAACAUGAAUAUCACUAUUUUUAUUUAAGUAUUUCCUAAAUUUAUGCCUUCGCUCCAUAAUCAAAUAGGAGAGUUUCUAUUAUUUUCGACAAAUCAUGUGAAUGGCAAUAUGUUGGGCUUAAUUUUCUCGUCAAUUAUAAUUAAUACCUUUUCAAAACAAACAGGAAAGUAUCUCAUCUCACUCAAUAACAACAUAACACCAAAAAUAAAUCUAUCAGAUUUAAUUUGACUGAAAAUUAAUGUCUACCACUUUGCUUUUUUCCAUGGUAGAUUAAUUUCUGGCUCUCGAUUAUGUAUCCUUCCUAAGAAAAUAUCUGUAAUUAAACUUAAGACCAUGUUCCUACUUGAAGACAUGCAUAAACUGUAUAUUAAAACUAUAGACCAGGGCGUGAAGACAUUGGAGUCAUUUCCUUAUCUCACAUCAACCCACUUCCCAACCUAUUUCUAAAGAAGGACUUGCAUAUUAUGUGACUGGAAUCUAGGUUAUACCUGUUUUUUUUGUUGUUGUUGUUAUUUUUUUGUUUGUGAAAGAAGAAUCUUUAGCGAGUUAAAGGUAAGAAACAUGGAAGUGGAAAAUACAUUUUCUCAUUUUUGUGGCAUGUAAUUUCAUUUGUUCUCUGUGAUCUCCAGUUUCUCAUAACAAUGAACUGAUUUUGAGUGUAUCCACGAUGUAAUUGUCCUGCUUUGGCUUCUACUAGAUGAAGCUGAACUUCAGCAAUGUUUCAGGAAAAAAUCUACAACAUCUUUCUUUUCAGGGGCAAACCUUAACCUGAAGACAACAUGGAUGCUUCCUUUUUAUUUGUAUGCAGAGCUUCUGUUAGGUGGCAGAAGUAAAGGAUCCUAUCCAAAUAACUUAUGGGCUUUUUUUAAAAAAAAUAGCUACAGAACAUUUGAUUUACAGCUACUUCAACAAACUGUUGUACUCAUUAUUGUUGUAAGUUGAGGCGCUUAGAUUGUUUUGCUUCUCAAAUGCUCUGUGCAAUUGCAACUGUUAAGGAACCAUAGUGAUACAUCAUAGACAAAAUCAGAACAGUAUUAAAAUUUUUAGUUCACAAUUAUUCCAAACUGUAUAUAGAAGAUGUUGUGUCUUAAUGCUGCCAAGGUACUCAGACUGCACUGAAUAACGUUCUUAUGAAUUAAUUUAAACAAAAGUUAAAGAACUCUUAUUCUAACAAAUUGAAUGCAAAGGCCUCAUUGUCUACAAUAUUUCAUGUACUAACACUAGGAAUAAAAAGUGCUACCUAAAACUUUAAA